UUUAACUUUUGGCUAUUUGCAUUCAUGUUUUUAGUUUCCUUUCUUAAUCGUACUUGCGUUGUGGACAAGCAAUGAAUCAAACUUUGGGUGUUUCUUAAAAGAUUUAAAUUUUGAGAAUGUAUGUUGAGUGUUUUUAUUAAUAUAGUACUAAUAGUGAUUGAUUUAUUGUGAUAGUCUGUCUGGGAUUUACGCUUCACUGAUCUCUCUUACUCCCUUGGUGUUCAAAUAGCUUUUUCACAUAACAUUGUUGGUAGUCCUUUUUUUGUUCAUUCCAAGUAUAAGGGAAUGUUGGUGUAAGAUUCCUACGUAAUCUUGUGAUGCAAAUAAUAUCCGGUCCAUGGCUUGCUUGGUCACUUGAGGAAGCGGUGGAGGAAUACAAUGGAGAUUCAUUUGGGAAAUCAAGCAGUCCUUUAAAGAUCGAUCCAAAACUAAGAAGACGCUGUUGGAUAAGAGGCACUUUGUACUGGAGCAGAUCCAUCAUUUGGGAGAAGAUUCUCUCCCGUAAGGCUUAUUUCUAAAUUUAUUUGGCGGAAGUACGCAAGCAAGCUUUUGAAUUCAAGAGUUUUCAUCCUAAACUACUCCAAAUAUUGUGGUUUAUGGAAUGGUAAAAGUUGCCUACUAAGCUGAUGACUACAGCUCCUACGACAUAGGAAAUGAUGAGUUCGAAUGAGCUUAUGAUGAUAAUUUUGGGUGCUAUGCAUGAUUAAGAUGCUUGUGUGUUUUGCACAUACUGUAGAAUAAAAGAUGUCUGUCAUAUACGCAUCAUAAUGAUGUACACAAAGUGUUUUAAAAGUGUUUUUGUAAUGGGUAUC